CGUGAAUGAUGAAGUCCCUAUUUGUACACCACCUUUUCAGCAAUUUUUCAUAUAUUCUACACGCAGAACAAGCAUUACAGACCUGAAAUGCAGCGAUAAGGAUGACCUGAGUGAGCUAACAUAUAACAUUGUUGGUGGUAAUACAAACGGGCGCUUCCGCAUGGAUCGAAAUGUCCUGUUUCCUAACGCUUUCUCCUACAACCCCGAUGGUAUUUUUGACCCUCUUGUUUUUGAGCUUCUGGUAGAAGUGACAGAUAGCCGUAGCACNCCUCGCUUCAGCACCACGGCCACCAUCAUUGUGUAUGUGACCCCUUGGGCCACCACAGUGGCUACUACUACCACCACCACUACGUGUUGGGCUAUUACCAUUUGCAUGAUUGUCACA
rnacentral:lncRNA from 1 species